rnacentral:rRNA from 1 species
CACGUAGGGCGCAAGCGUUGUCCGGAAUUAUUGGGCGUAAAGAGCUCGUAGGUGGUUUGUUACGUCUGCUGUGAAAACCUAGGGCUUAACCCUGGGCUUGCAGUGGAUACGGGCAGACUAGAGGUAGGUAGGGGAGAAUGGAAUUCCUGGUGUAGCGGUGAAAUGCGCAGAUAUCAGGAGGAACACCGGUGGCGAAGGCGGAUCUCUGGGCCAUUACUGACGCUGAGGAGCGAAAGCGUGGGGAGCGAACAGG